UUAGAUUUUUCUGUUAGAUCCGUUCCAGUGUUCCUUCCUCUAUGCCCCUGUUAAAUAUUCUCCUUCUCUCUCAGCUCUCUGCCCUCACUGUCCCCAGCUCAUUCCUCCCUGAUGCAGCCCAUCAAGGCUUAUCAGGAGGAGCUUAAGAGGAGCGGGUUCCCAUGAGGCAGAUGCCCGAUUGAUUCUACUCAGAGUGACAUCCUUGUCUCCUGUCCCUGGUUCCGUUCAGGACCUCAGUCCACUGAAUCAUAGUCUUCUGACUGGUUGGUAGUUUUCUUUUGUGGGUCCCCUGGACCUGCUGCCAGAACUCCCCCAGGACCGCACACAUGCCUGUUCUUCCUCCAGUGCUCUGCAGCCAUCACCACCUCAGCCUGCAAACAAAGGAGCUAUACAAACAUAUACCACUGGCCAAAGUUUUCCAACCUUAGUCCUUUUGGAUGUACUCACCUAACUCACCAAAUAGUAGGAAUCGGUUUUCUCUUCUUCAUCACUGUCAUUGGUUACCAAACUUUUCAGCUCUCUGUUAACACUUACCUCUCUUCCUCGUUUCCUUCCUGCAUCCAUUUCCAGAACCCCCGAAGAAACAUUCACUUGGCUGUUUGUAUCAAUAAACCAUCUUCCUUCCUCAGUUGUCCACGGUUGUUGCCUGUACAAGGGUCUUAGUUAAUGCCAACAUGACAAACGAAGAUGUUUGUCUUAUAAAGUUGUUUGAGAUGAUAUUGCCGAUUGGUAGUCUAUAAAUUAACUGGCAAACUUGUCUCAAUGAUGGUAUAUGUAAGUCACGGCCUUCCAUUAUGCCAAUGAUGUAUAUCCCAUGGUUAUUUGAUCGCAGUAUAUUUGCAUUACUCUAUGCAUG